UCCCAUCAGCCCAGAUGCCUGUAAAUCUUGCAGAGAACUCCAAGGAUACAGCUUUCAUGUGUCAACAUCCAUGCUGGACUUUUGUCAAGUCACCCACGUUCCUGAUAAGUCACAAAACAACAGGACUGCUACUUAAAUAUUCUGAGAGCCAAAGGCUCAGAACACAUUGUGAACUAUGGGAUGGAAGAAUCCAGGAGCUGGAGAAUGACAAGGAGAACUGUGAAAUGUUGUCUGGACAGGACAUGGCCAUUACAGUUACAAAUUCAUAGCAACUGUGGUUUCCUAUACAAGACCAGCACAAGACCAAGCCCAUUAGCAUUCAAACAUGGACAGGACAGAAGCUUACAAAGCUCUACUGCUAAGGAAACAUUGGUUGUUGAUGCCAGCUGCGGAAGAACCUUCACCAAACCUGCCAACAUGAUUUCUAUCCUUGGGAUCUACGUAGAAGAAAGAUAGAGCUGACUCUCCAAAAUUGUCCUCUAUCUUCUGCAUGUGCACAUGGACACAAAAGGUGUUCAAAAAAAGAGCAGAAGGGACAAGCAAUUCUGUAACACAUGACCAUUAUGCGAUCCAAGAAUAAAGUCCAACAAGAUGCCCUA